rnacentral:rRNA from 1 species
CCUACGGGUGGCAGCAGUGAGGAAUAUUGGUCAAUGGACGCAAGUCUGAACCAGUCAUGCCGCGUGCAGGAAGACGGCUCUAUGAGUUGUAAACUGCUUUUGUACGAGGGUAAAUCCCGAUACGUGUAUCGGGUUGAAAGUAUCGUACGAAUAAGCCACGGCUAACUACGUGCCAGCAGCCGCGGUAAUACGUAGGUGGCAAGCGUUGUCCGGAUUUACUGGGUGUAAAGGGCGUGUAGCCGGGUUGACAAGUCAGAUGUGAAAUCCUGCGGCUUAACCGCAGAACUGCAUUUGAAACUGUUGAUCUUGAGUACUGGAGAGGCAGACGGAAUUCCUAGUGUAGCGGUGAAAUGCGUAGAUAUUAGGAGGAACACCAGUGGCGAAGGCGGUCUGCUGGACAGCAACUGACGGUGAGGCGCGAAAGCGUGGGGAGCAAACAGGAUUAGAUACCCGUGUAGUC